AAUCUCUCCAGCUACAACAGGAAAGGAGUCUUCAUCUCUCAAGACAUCACUUACCCAACAUCUGGAAAAUGGUUAGUGUUUGAUGAAUGCUUUUCAUGUGUUCAUUCAUCCAUUCAACGUGGGCAGAACAACCUGGAGCCCAUUUCUCUGGAGGCAGCCCGGUGCAAUGGGAAGAACUCUUGCCUUUGGAGCCAGGGGACCUAGAUCUGUUUUCAUCCUUCGUUCUCAAAGAGUACCAAUGUGCUUCCUGAUUGUCCUACACACGGUGCUAACCUCUGCCGCAUUUGCUGCAGGGCAAACUCCUAGGUGAUUUUUCAAUGAAUAAAAAAUCUUUAAGUGAAUAUUUUGUUUGUGUCCUCCAGAUCCAGGAGUAUUUUCUGGAACAAUUUGUUCUAA